UCUCUGCAGUUCUCCCCACCCUUUCACCUUUAGGCUUUUGCACCAGCUCUAUCCGGAAUAUCCUUGGCUGGUAGGGCAGUGCCACAGAUCCAAUCUUUAUUCUCCUUCGAAUACCACCCCCGCCCCAACCCCCCUUUGCAAAAUCUUCAGGAUUUGAUCGCAGCCGCUGCAGCUCUUUGUCGGUAUCUCUCCAUCUCUCGGUCGUAUCUCACAUUAUAUCGACAACACACGUCAGUUCCCUUGCUAGAGCGCCCAGCUCGGGAAAUGCAAAAAUCUAGUCUGAUGUUUAUUCCCCCUACACCCAGGCCAGCGCUCGGCUGAUUAAGUGCAUGUGGAAGAAUAAAGAACAUGCAAAGCCAAGGGAUCCAGCGUGUGUUCUGCGGUUCAACAACCUGGAUUUCCCACAGGGUCGUUUCAAAAGGAGUUUCUGUAGACUUGGGAGGGGGCGGGGGCGGCCUGAACUCCGCUGCCAGUCUGGCUCCAAGGAGGCCAGAACGAGGGGUCAAACCUCGGACCUACUCCCGCUCCCGCCCCAAGUCUCCGUAUGUCCACCCGGGCUGGCUGGGAGCACAAAAGGAGGGCAACACCAAAAAUGCGAGGGUAGGGAGACGUGGUGCCUGCAACUGGCCGCCAGGCCUUCUUGGGCCCCACAGGCCGAGACUGGCAUCGCGUAACCCGGUAACCCACGCCUUCAUCCUGGGGGCCUCAGAGCCACGCCUCAGCGUGCAGCCCCGCAGCUAGGAGCUCAGAGAACUGACCCCCCGGGCCGCGGUCGACUGCGGCACACAAAGGCCGGAAGUAAGUCGGCGUCAGCCUGGCGAGGCGUCCUCUCUAGGACCCAGGAGGCCCCACACCUCAGUGGUUCGCCAGAAUCGCAGGUGGCGGGAGAGGACCAGGGCCAGACCCGGCAAGACCUCGUCUCCCAGGGCGUGUGCCCCACUCCAGGCGCAACAAAGUGAAUCGAAAGAAACAACUUGGAAAUCAAAUCCAGAACUUUUAUGUGCAAGAGAAACUCCCCUUAAAUGUAUUCAGGCCUGUUUCAGCUAAGAGUUUGGAGCACAGUGGGUUAUCAUCCUAGCUCCCCGCAGAGGAGGAGGAAACAACAUGGAGAAAGUUCUCCGUGGCUCAGGGCUCAGGGCCUCUCACUGACAGAGUGUCUCAGAACCCGGACCUGUGCCACCACAGUCAGUGCACUUUCUGCUGCCCGGGGCUGCCUCUCAUCAGAAAGACUCAGUAGGGACAGGAGAGUGUCUUCAGUAAAUGGUGCUGGGAAACUGGAUUACCACCUGCAGAAGAAUGAAACUGGACCCCUGUCUUCUACCACUCACAAAAACUAACUUGAAAUGGAUUAAAGACUUAAAUAUAAGACCUGAAACCAUGAAACUAAUGAAGAAAACACAAGGAAAAAUCUCCAUGACUUUGGUCUUGGCAACAAUUUUUUGAAGAUGACAACAAAAGCACAAGCAACAAAAGCAAAGAUAAAUAAGUAGGAUUGCAUCAAAAUAAAGAACUGCUCAGGGGAAAAAAAUCUGCAAAAUGAAAAGGCAGCCUAUGGAAAGGGAGAAAAUAUUUGCAAACCAUCUAUCUAAUAAAGAGCUACUAUCCAAAAUGUAUAAGAAACUUAUACAACUUAUACAACUUAACAUCAAAACCCUAAUAAUCUGUUUAUUGUAUAAUGGACAGAGGACCUGAAUAGACGUUUUUCCAAGGAAGACAUACCAAUUGCCAACAGGUACUUGAAGAGAUGCUCAGUAUCACCAAUCAUCCAGAAAGUGCAAAUCAAAACGACAAUGAGGAGCUUCCCUAGUGGCGCAGUGGUUAAGAAUCCGCCUGCCAAUGCAGGGGAUACGGGUUCGAGCCCUGGUCCGGGAAGAUCCCACAUGCCGCGGAGCAGCUAAGCCCGUGAGCCGCAAAUACUGAGCCUGCACUCUAGAGUUCGCGAGCCACAAUUACUGAGCCCGUGUGCCACAACUACUGAAGCCCGCAAGCCUAGAGCCCGUGCUCCGCAACAAGAGAAGCCACUGCAAUGAGAAGCCUGCGUACAACGAAGAGCAGCCCCCACUCGCCGCAACUAGAGAAAACCCGCGCGCAGCAAUGAAGACCCAAUGCAGCCAAAAAAAAAAAAAAAGACAAUGAGAUAUCACCUCACAUUUGUUAUAAUGUCUGUUAUCAAAAAGACAAGAGAUAACAAAAGCUGGUGAGGAUGUAGAGAAAAGGGAACCUGGUGCAUUAUUGGUGGGAAUAUAAAUUGGUACGACUAUGGAGAACAGUAUGGAGGUUUUUCAAAAAAUUAAAAAUAGAACUACGAUAUGACCCAGCAAUCCCACUUCUGGGUAGAUAUCCAGAGGAAAUGAAAUCAGGAUCUUAAAGAGAUAUCUGCAUUCCUGUUCAUUGCAGCAUUAUUUGCCAUAGUAAAAAUACCGAAACAACCUAAGUGUCCAUCUAGGGAUAAAUGGAUAAAGAUGAUGCGAUAUAUAUCUUCUUCUGGUAUAUGGGAUUAUUCAGCCAUGAGAAAGAAGGACAUCCUGCCAUUUUUGACAACAUAGAGGGAUCUUGAGGGCAUUAUGUUAAGUGAAGUAAGUCAGACAAGAAGUCUCUGGGUCCAACAGCCAGUUCUGGAUUAACCCAAGCUCUUCUGUUCCUUAGUAGAAUAUCCUCAGGUUCAUCCACGUUGCAGCAUGAGUAAGGAUUUCCUUCCUUUCUAAAGUUGAAUAAUGUUCCAUUGUUUGGAUAGAUCACAUUUUGUUUAUCUGUUCACCCUUUGAUGGACACUUGGGUUGUUUCCACCUCAUCUUGACAUUUAAGAGACAAAUGACGUGAUCUUACCUGUGUUGUCAGAGCAUCGAGCAUGUUAGGAAAGGAGACAGACUUGUGAGGACUGUGAAUAAUUGAUGGAGGUGCAGCAAGACAGGAGCAGUCUGCGGGAGAAAAGGGCCCGAGUCAGAACAUAAUUUGGUGACAUCUAGGCUGCCGGGGCUGAAAGGGAAGGGACAGGAACCUUAGCUUGGGAGGUUGGGAGGAGAAACCCAGAGGACAGGAUCAGGAGGUAGAAGAGGCGACGGUGAAGAGGGAAAGUAGUUUUGGUUUUCUUUGGGGGUAGGGUGGAGUGGGGAAGAUCAUGCUGGAACUGGGAAUUGUGAUUCUGAGACGUCUUCAGGACAUCCAGGUGGCAAUGCUGGGGAAUAGGUGUGAAAACGGAGUGAGAUGAUCCCAUAAUUAUAAAAGGAAUCAACAAAUACAGUGGAAGAGAGAUGCCCUCCUCUCUCCUCUCACCCAGGGCUCCCGGCCAAAGCCCUGCAGGUUCUUAAGAGCUGCUGGGAGAACUUCUCCGAGCCCGUUAGCUGGACACACAGUGCCCUCUCCUGGCGAUAACUUGAACCUGCAACUGAGCCUGCAUCCUAGGGCGGAAAUGCCUUUCCCGCUGAAUAUGCUGAAAGCCGCAGCUGCGGUCCAUUAGCCUAAGAAAGAACUGUGACUGACCCGCACUAUGGGUUUUAAGACCCCGCACGUGAGGAUUGCGUGCUCAAGGGUCCAGAGAAGCUAACCGCCCCCUCAGCAGGUGCCGUGAGCCUCGGAGGCACCUGCGGGACAGCAAAGUGGAAAUGGGAGACCAAUACGGAAGGUUCACGCCUGACUUAAAGGAGUCCGAUGCUUUUGCUAUAAACGCCGUUGUUUAUUUGAAAGCAUUCACACACCGGGAACAUCACAAAGAGAAGAAAGACCCAGGGCGGCCUUCCAGAAAAAAGCCCUGUGAGCACUGACUAUCUCCAGGUCUUGCCCCACCAUCACUGCUCAAGCCACUGCAACCUGGCAGUGUUUGGUCCUCUUAACCAGCGGGGUGGAGAGGAAGAUGGGAGAUGCCUGACAGCUGGAGUCAGGAGAGCUGGGAGAGCCCUGACCCUGGUUCCUAAAGAGAAGUGGCACCGAAGAAUGUUCCUGAAUACAGCUCUGCAAGAUUGCAGGUGCUGCAAAGGCAGGGGCUGUGCCUGUCACGCUGACCAUCAUGUCCUAAGCUGCGUGUCUCACACGUGGUACAUUUGAAGUAACAAGAAAACACAGUAACUAGGAAACAGAAGAUGAGAUGAAAGCAAUCAAUUUAACUGUGUCAGAAAUCACAACAUAUUUAAAUAGGUUAAUUUCCUAUAUUAAACUGCAGAUGUUUAGGACUUAAUUCUCCAUUUCUUGGAAUCCUUAAGAAGACAUACUGUUACCCAGAAGGCCUUUAUAGUUUUGCAAUGUGUAAAAUAAGCAUCAGCCCAGAGCAGAGAAGCAGAAGUUUGCAAUCCAAGGGCAAUGUGAUGAGCUGAGUUGUGUUCCCCCAAAUUCAUGUGUUGAAGCCCUAACUCCCAGUACCUCAGGAUAUGACUGUACUUAGAGAUAGGGCCUUUAAAGGGGUAAUUGAGUUAAAAUGAGGCCAUUAGGGUGGGCGCUAAUCCAAUUUGUCUGGUGCCCUUAUAAGAAGAGGAAAGUUGGACACACAGGAGACACCAGGGUGUGCGUGCACAGGGGGACAACUGCGUGACAACACAGGGAGAUGGCCGUCUGCAAGCCAAGGAGAGAGGCCUCAGGAGAAACCAACCCUGCCAACACCUGAUCUCAGUUUUCUCGCCUCCAGAACUGGGAGAAAUAAAUUUCUGUUUUUUAAGCCACCCAUUGUGUGGUGUUCUGUUACGGCGGCCCUAGGAAACUAAUACAGUCAUGUACAAGAACGUCGGGUGCUGACAGGUUAUGGGCAGGUUACCAAAGGCAUCUGCUACAGGGGCCAACUCAUUUCAUCAGAUUCUCAAGGGGGCGAUGAUCUCCCAAAGUUAGAGUCACAGCGUAGAGAUUUCAUAACUCAGGGUGGAGAUAGAGAAAGGUAGAAAGUGCCCCUCACCCCAGCUUCCAAGGCUGCUCACCCUGACUCAUUUGCCCGGCGGGAAGAGAACCCACUAGAAGGUAGUGUGUGGGGCAGAGGCUCAUCUCCUAUAAACAACCAAGGAGCUGCAAUGUGAGGAUGUGAGAAAAUUUGGGAAGUAACUGCAUAAAGGAAAACCCUAGGGGCCUUGAGUCAUCGGGCUGAUGCUGUGCUGUGUACUUCAGAGUUAUGAUGAACUUUAACCUCCAUAUGGGGAAGAGGAAAAUAAAAUAAAAUGAGGCUACCUGGGAGGGGGGGUUGUCUUCUUUCCUUCUGCCCCUUCUGGGGCAGCCGGGGGCAUGAGGAGAUAUCUGCCAAGGGGGCUUCAGGGAAAAAUGCAGUUGGGUCUCUUCAGUUUGGGCCACUUUGUUUAAGAAUGAUCGAUAGCAGUUAUUAACCUCGCCGGUAGAAAGUAUUUCCAAUUCCUGGAGCUCUCCUGCUGUCGGGGAUAUUAAUCCAGCCACCUAGGCUGAAGAUACAAAUUUGAGAGCUUUCAGCAGAUUGAUGGCUUCAAAUCCAUGGAAAUGGAGUGAAAAUCCUAGGAGAGGGUGGGCACAGAAAAUAGAAGAAAGUCCAUGCAUUAAUCGUGAAAGACAAACCGAGUUAUCAAAAAAAAAACCCUUCUGCAUCUCAAAGGCUUAAAAUAAAGGUGUGUUUCUCACUUACUUCACAAUUAGUGACCGAGACGUAUGGCCCUGCCUAGAUGUCCGGGGCCUGGGGACUGAGGCCAUCCUGUGUAUCCAGGAGGACAAUGGAUUGGCUUGGUGGACACACAGCAUCAUCUCUGCCACAGUCCAGGCCCGGGCUUCCAUCAAAGGAAGCUGAGACAGGAAGCCCGUGUGCAACGUGACAGCCUGCAGAGAGCUUUCAACCCAGCAUUCCCUGGAAGGUGUGAGACUCUGAAUGUAUGGCCUCCUGGACCCUGUACACAGUCAGGUGGUCUGGCUUCAUUUCCUGCUUCGUUCACAACAUCACUUCCAUCUCUGUUUUUAAAAAAAUUUAAUGUUUCAUUUUUAUCAUUUUAUCCUAUAAAGCUAUAAAAGCAGUUGAGGCUUGAGCCACAUUUUUUAAACUAAUUUUUAUUGGAGUAUAGUUGUUUUACAAUGUUCUGUUAGUUUCUGCUGUACAGCAAAGUGUGAGCCACAUUUUUUGUUUUAAAUAAAUUUCCACAC